GGGGUGCAAGCACGGAAGGCUUGUAUCAUGUUGACGCGCCGACAGUGUUGUUGUCAUUACUUAGAAUUCCUCAUGGGGGAGACAGAAUCUACGCACCAUAGCUUUAAAGUGAAACCAAUAUCAAU